ACCUUGUAGGAAGUUGCAGCCAUGAUGUACGCAGAGCUUCCUCUGAUGGGCGAUAAGCUUCAGACAGGUUUUGAACAAGGUACCGAGUGCAGGAAUGCAGGAUGUGAAUUUCUGUCCUCAUCUGAAUGUCUGGCAUCCCCUGGCAUCGCUUUCACAUCACUGAAGGCAACAUCUGCCCUCAUCAAACAGUGAAUGCCGUUAUUUAACAGUGGCUACUGUUGCUGCUGCUGCUGCUAAGUCGCUUCAGUCGUGUCCGGCUCUGUGCGACCCCAGAGACGGCAGCCCACCAGGCUCCCCAGUGGAAAACUAUAAAAUAACUUUAGGAGCAAAAAAGUCCAAGGUUAAUAUCUCUAAACUCUUGUCUCAGUACAAUGUUACAGACAAGCUGAGACUUCGUUAUACUUUGUAAUUAUUGCUGAUUGUAUGGUUUUGUUUU
rnacentral:lncRNA from 1 species